rnacentral:pre_miRNA from 1 species
CUAGCAACACUAUCCUGAUGCUGUCAGAGUUAAGUGGUAAAGCUCCAGCAUCAGUGAUUUUGUUGUUAG